CAUCAACUGUCACUUUGUAUCGUGAAGAUUAGAAAUAAAUGAUCUGCACCGGACGAGACCGUGAGUCGCUGGCUGGCCUGGUUGCGUUAAAGAAAAUGAGCAAAACAUGGGUUCUGGUGGAAUGGAGGGAGGAGCCUCCCACCUAUGAUAUUGUCCCUAAAAAGGACAUACUAAAAAAAAGGUUUGAACCUGGAGAUGUUGUGGAUGUGGCUUAUGAAGAGGAAAGUUCCCCAGCCACAGUUAUAGAUAUUGAUGGUAAAAGUUCAGCAAACAAGACUUAAUCAUGAUAUAGAAGAUAUGUAUUUCCUACUUUAUUUUUGUCCCUUCAGAGAGCAAAGAUACCCUCAGGAGGAGAAUGUUUAGGCUAGAGGGGAAAAAAAAAAAACCAGCCAUGUUUGCAAAAUGAUGCAAAAAGAGUAGCAAAGAUAAAAAAAAACGUACACUCCAACUCAUUCCCCAUCUCACU